AAGGUUUCCGUAGGUAAC
rnacentral:rRNA from 1 species